UGAUCUCCAGGGGAUCAGUAUAUCCCAAGUGAGUCUCCUUCAGUAUCCCAGCCACCUGUUCCCUGAUUGUCAUUCACCAUCCUGGUCGGUUGGCAAAUACUGGUUCACAGGAGUUUCCAUUUGUGUCACACAGCCUGAGAUCCUGUGCUGCAGCUUCUGCCAGCCUUUAGUUCAUGCCCUGCUGUCAACCGACCUGUGUCUAUGCUCAGAUCUCCACAGCCGGGCAGGAGCAGAACAAUGCUGACAGACUGGCCGUGCCCCAAGUCUUUGUUGGUUUUGAGGAAGGUCCAUGUUGAAGAAAAACAUUUUUUCAAGAAAGCAAAACAGCUUUGAAAGACUAAAGUAUAAAGUGGAUGGAGUAGUAGUGAGUUUCUGCAAGUGUCAGGAGACUACCCAAUCGAGUGUACUGUCCAAGAUAUCAGCAGAAACCUUAACAGGAGAGACAACGGCGACAUGCUCUUCGGCUUCCCAAAAUGCUGCUUUGAAAGCAAGACAAGGAAGUGAAUAUAAAGAUGGGUG
ensembl:lncRNA